rnacentral:rRNA from 1 species
ACGGGGCGCAGCAGGCGCGAAACCUUUACACUGCACGACAGUGCGAUAGGGGGACUCCGAGUGCGAGGGCAUAUAGCCCUCGCUUUUGUCGACCGUAAGGUGGUCGACGAAUAAGGACUGGGCAAGACCGGUGCCAGCCGCCGCGGUAAUACCGGCAGUCCGAGUGAUGGCCGAUUUUAUUGGGCCUAAAGCGUUCGUAACUUGCCGAGCAAGUCCGUCGGGAAAUCCACGCGCUCAACGUGUGGACGUCCGGCGGAAACUGCCCGGCUUGGGACCGGAAGACCCAAGGGGUACGUUCGGGGUAGGAGUGAAAUCCCGUAAUCCUGAACGGACCACCGAUGGCGAAAGCACCUUGGGAGGACGGAUCCGACAGUGAGGAACGAAAGCUGGGGUCUCGAACCGGAUUAGAUACCCGGGUAGUCCCAGCCGUUAACGAUGCCCGCUAGGUGUGGCGCAGGCUACGAGCCUGCGCUGUGCCGCAGUGAAGACGUAAGCGGGCCGCCUGGGAAGUACGUCCGCAAGGAUGAAACUUAAAGGAA